AUUGAACGCUGGCGGCAGGCCUAACACAUGCAAGUCGAGCGGAUGAAGGUAGCUUGCUACCUGAUUCAGCGGCGGACGGGUGAGUAAUGCCUAGGAAUCUGCCUGGUAGUGGGGGACAACGUUUCGAAAGGAACGCUAAUACCGCAUACGUCCUACGGGAGAAAGUGGGGGAUCUUCGGACCUCACGCUAUCAGAUGAGCCUAGGUACGAUUAGCUAGUUGGUGAGGUAAAGGCUCACCAAGGCGACGAUCGUUAACUGGUCUGAGAGGAUGAUCAGUAACACUGGAACGGGGACACGGUCCAGACUCCUACGGGAGGCAGCAGUGGGGAAUAUUGGACAAUGGGCGAAAGCCUGAUCCAGCCAUGCCGCGUGUGUGAAGAAGGUCUUCGGAUUGUAAAGCACUUUAAGUUGGGAGGAAGGGCAGUAAGUUAAUACCUUGCUGUUUUGACGUUACCGACAGAAUAAGCACCGGCUAACUUCGUGCCAGCAGCCGCCGUAA
rnacentral:rRNA from 1 species